AAACCAGCACCUCAAGUGGUCAGGAUGAUUAUUGGGCCUAAAGCAUCCGUAGCCGGCUCUGUAAGUUUUCGGUUAAAUCUGUACGCUCGACGUACAGGCUGCCGGGAAUACUGCAGAGCUAGGGAGUGGGAGAGGUAGACGGUACUCGGGAGGAAGUGGUAAAAUACUUUGAUCUCUCGAUGACCACCUGUGGCGAAGGCGGUCUACCAGAACACGUCCGACGGUGAGGGAUGAAAGCUGGGGGAGCAAACCGGAUUAGAAACCCCAGUAGUCC
rnacentral:rRNA from 1 species